rnacentral:rRNA from 1 species
GACGAACGCUGGCGGCGUGCUUAACACAUGCAAGUCGAACGGAAAGGCCCUGCUUUUGUGGGGUGCUCGAGUGGCGAACGGGUGAGUAACACGUGAGUAACCUGCCCUUGACUUUGGGAUAACUUCAGGAAACUGGGGCUAAUACCGGAUAGGAGCUCCUGCUGCAUGGUGGGGGUUGGAAAGUUUCGGCGGUUGGGGAUGGACUCGCGGCUUAUCAGCUUGUUGGUGGGGUAGUGGCUUACCAAGGCUUUGACGGGUAGCCGGCCUGAGAGGGUGACCGGCCACAUUGGGACUGAGAUACGGCCCAGACUCCUACGGGAGGCAGCAGUGGGGAAUAUUGCACAAUGGGCGGAAGCCUGAUGCAGCAACGCCGCGUGCGGGAUGACAGCCUUCGGGUUGUAAACAGCUUUCGCCUGUGACGAAGCGUGAGUGACGGUAAUGGGUAAAGAAGCACCGGCUAACUACGUG